UUCUGUGCAAUUCAUUUGUAAAUAUGAACCUAGUCUCCUCGUGCGAUUUACAUAUAUAUUCUACUUUUACGACAUUGAAUAACAUUGUCGAAUUUCUCCAUAUAAGAGGACUUGGAUUCUAAUCUAAAGACUGGCCUUGGCAUUUGUUUUUCCAAUAAUU